UGCUUCAAAUGUGUUUUUUUAUUCUGUCUUAAUUUGGUGGCGUCAAAGUAAUGUGAAGGGCUACGCCACACGGACACUGUUCUGUUCACAUUAAUGUGUGUUAACUGUAAUGUGAAAGUGCCAUAGAACCAUUUUCU